AGAACGAACGCUGGCGGCGUGCUUAACACAUGCAAGUCCAACGUGAAAGGGGAGCAAUCCCCCGGUAGGGGUGGCGAACGGGUGAGUAAUACAUGGGAAUCUGCCCUGGAGAUGGGGAUAUCCUUCCGAAAGGAGGGUUAAUACCGAAUAUCGUCCGGGUGACGAGAGUCAUUUGGGGAAAGGGAGGCCUCUGGCAACAUGCUUCCGCUCCGGGAGGAGCCCAUGGCCCAUCAGCUAGUUGGUAGGGUAAAGGCCUACCAAGGCUACGACGGGUCGCUGGUCUGAGAGGACGACCAGCCACACUGGCACUGAGAUACGGGCCA
rnacentral:rRNA from 1 species